AUACGUAGGGGUCGAGCGUUGUCCGGAGUUACUGGGCGUAAAGCGCAUGCAGGCGGCUCAUUACGCAUGGCGUGAAAGCCCCCGGCUCAACCGGGGAGGGUCGUCGUGAACGGAUGAGCUUGAGGGUAUCAGGGGCUGGUGGAAUUCCCGGUGUAGUGGUGAAAUGCGUAGAGAUCGGGAGGAACACCUGUGGCGAAGGCGGCCAGCUGGGAUACACCUGACGCUGAGAUGCGAAGGCGUGGGGAGCGAACGGGAUUAGAUACCCCGGUAGUCCACGCAGUAAACGAUGCAGACUAGGCGUGGGAGGACUUGACCCCUUCCGUGCCGGAGCUAACGCACUAAGUCUGCCGCCUGGGGAGUACGGCCGCAAGGCUAAA
rnacentral:rRNA from 1 species